rnacentral:rRNA from 1 species
ACGGAAGGCAGCAGUGGGGAAUAUUGGACAAUGGGGGAAACCCUGAUCCAGCGACGCCGCGUGAGUGAAGAAGUAUUUCGGUAUGUAAAGCUCUAUCAGCAAGGAAGAAAAUGACGGUACUUGACUAAGAAGCUCCGGCUAAAUACGUGCCAGCAGCCGCGGUAAUACGUAUGGAGCAAGCGUUAUCCGGAUUUACUGGGUGUAAAGGGAACGUAGACGGCAAAGCAAGUCCGAAGUGAAAUCCCGGGGCUCAACCCCGGAACUGCUUUGGAAACUGUUUAGCUAGAGUGCAGGAGAGGUAAGCGGAAUUCCUAGUGUAGCGGUGAAAUGCGUAGAUAUUAGGAGGAACACCAGUGGCGAAGGCGGCUUACUGGACUGUAACUGACGUUGAGGCUCGAAAGCGUGGGGAGCAAACAGGAUUAGAUACCCUGGUA